rnacentral:rRNA from 1 species
AGCGAACGCUGGCGGUAGGCCUAACACAUGCAAGUCGAACGAACUCUUCGGAGUUAGUGGCGGACGGGUGAGUAACACGUGGGAACGUGCCUUUAGGUUCGGAAUAACUCAGGGAAACUUGUGCUAAUACCGAAUGUGCCCUUCGGGGGAAAGAUUUAUCGCCUUUAGAGCGGCCCGCGUCUGAUUAGCUUGUUGGUGGGGUAAUGGCCCACCAAGGCGACGAUCAGUAGCUGGUCUGAGAGGAUGACCAGCCACAUUGGGACUGAGGCACGGCCCAAACUCCUACGGGAGGCAGCAGUGGGGAAUCUUGCGCAAUGGGCGAAAGCCUGACGCAGCCAUGCCGCGUGGAUGAUGAAGGUCUUAGGAUUGUAAAAUCCUUUCACCGGUGAAGAUAAUGACUGUAGCCGGAGAAGAAGCCCCGGCUAACUUCGUGCCAGCCGCCGCGGUAAAAC